rnacentral:rRNA from 1 species
GACGAACGCUGGCGGCGUGCUUAACACAUGCGAGUCGAACGGAAAGGCCCUGCUUUUGUGGGGUGCUCGAGUGGCGAACGGGUGAGUAACACGUGAGUAACCUGCCCUUGACUUUGGGAUAACUUCAGGAAACUGGGGCUAAUACCGGAUAGGAGCUCCUGCUGCAUGGUGGGGGUUGGAAAGUUUCGGCGGUUGGGGAUGGACUCGCGGCUUAUCAGCUUGUUGGUGGGGUAGUGGCUUACCAAGGCUUUGACGGGUAGCCGGCCUGAGAGGGUGACCGGCCACAUUGGGACUGAGAUACGGCCCAGACUCCUACGGGAGGCAGCAGUGGGGAAUGUUGCACAAUGGGCGGAAGCCUGAUGCAGCAACGCCGCGUGCGGGAUGACGGCCUUCGGGUUGUAAACCGCUUUCGCCUGUGACGAAGCGUGAGUGACGGUAAUGGGUAAAGAAGCACCGGCUAACUACGUG